CCCUGAGUAACRGCGAGCGAAAAGGGAAGAGUCCAGCACCGAAUCCGCGUUCUUCUUGGACGUCGGAAAUGUGGUGUUUGGGAGUGAGCGUUUCGAGAUUAAACACGGCAGCAAGUCCCCCUGACCGGGGCUCUUUCCCAGAGCGGGUGCGAGGCCCAUAGCUGCCGAGUUUAUUUUCGAAUGCAAUCUCCUCGGAGUCGGGUUGCUUGGGAGUGCAGCCCUAAGCGGGUGGUAAACUCCACCUAAGACUAAAUACUGCCGUGAGACCGAUAGCAAACAAGUACCGUGAGGGAAAGUUGCAAAGAACUUUGAAGAGAGAGUUCAAGAGUACGUGAAACUGCUCAGAGGGAAACGGGUGGGCCCUCGAAAUCCUGUGUUCGGAGGAUUCAGUU
rnacentral:rRNA from 1 species